UCCAUCAGUCUCUGCCUCCCCAGUGCUGGGAUUAAGGUGUGCACCACCACACCUGGCAAAAAAUAUUCUUUUAUCAUAACAAAAGUAAUUUUUUGUUUGCUUGGUUUCUAUGAGACAGGGUUUCUCUGUGUAGCUCUGGCUAUCCUGGACCUCAUUCUGAAGAACAGAGUGGCCUCAAACUCAGAGAUCUGUCUCCAGAGUGCUGAAAUUGAAGGUUAGUUCAAGCUUAUCCACUGUGCAAUAUCUGCCUCUUCAGGAUAUUUGCUUUGGAAGAGACAACUCAUGGCAGAAGAACUAUGACUAAAUAGUGUGUUUGCUAAGAGCAACCAAUCUGAAUUGGCAUUAAAGUAUGAGAACGAUUAUCUAUUCGACUUCUAAUUAAUAAAAGUGAUUUGGGAAAGAAAAGAGUACUCAAAGCUCAUCUUUACAAAGUAGCCUAAUGCCUUUUAAA